rnacentral:rRNA from 1 species
AUUGAACGCUGGCGGCAGGCCUAACACAUGCAAGUCGAGCGGAGCGGCGGACGGGUGCGUAAUGCCUAGGAAUCUGCCUGGUAGUGGGGGAUAACGUCCGGUAACGGGCGCUAAUACCGCAUACUAUCAGAUGAGCUUAGGUGGUAUUAGCUAGUUGGUGGGUGAAAGGCUUACCAGGGCGACGAUCUGUAACUGGUCUGAGAGGAGGAUCAGUCACACUGGAACGGAGACACGGUCCAGACUCCUACGGGAGGCAGCAGUGGGGAAUAGUGGACAAUGGGCGAAAGCCUGAUCCAGCCAUGCCGCGUGUGUGAAGAAGGUCUGCGGAUUGUAAAGCACUUUAAGUUGGGAGGCGUUACCAACAGAAUAAGCACCGGCUAACUUCGUGCCAGCAGCCGCGGUAAUUC